rfam:Felis catus isolate Cinnamon breed Abyssinian chromosome B3, whole genome shotgun sequence.
GUCUGGGUGGCUCAGUCGGUUGAGCGUCUGACUUCGGCUCAGGUCAUGAUCUCACAGUUCGUGGGUUCGAGCCCUGCGUCGGACU